rnacentral:pre_miRNA from 1 species
AUAGGAAGCUCCUGAGGAUCUUGCUAAAAGUCAGAUUCUGAUCCAGUACAUCUGGAGCAGGGCCUGGGAGCCUGCAUUUCCAAAAGGCUCCCUAGAGAUGCUGAU